GGCCCCAGACCCAGCUCGGGCAGCCGUGGCCAUCUUACUGGGCAGCAUUGGAUGGAGUCAGGUCUCUAAUACUGCCUGGUAAUGAUGACGGCGGGGCCCUGCACGCAGC
rnacentral:miRNA from 1 species